UCAAAUUUGAAAUCUGGCGCAAGCCCGAGUUGUAAUUUGUAGAGGAUGCUUCUGGCCAGCGGCCGUUCUAAGUUCCUUGGAACAGGACGUCAUAGAGGGUGAGAAUCCCGUAUGUGACCGGCGCGCAGCCUUUACGUAGCUCCUUCGACGAGUCGAGUUGUUUGGGAAUGCAGCUCUAAAUGGGAGGUAAAUUUCUUCUAAAGCUAAAUACCGGCCAGAGACCGAUAGCGCACAAGUAGAGUGAUCGAAAGAUGAAAAGCACUUUGGAAAGAGAGUUAAAAAGCACGUGAAAUUGUUGAAAGGGAAGCGCUUGCAACCAGACUUCGUAGCGAUGUUCCGCUGGUCUUUUGACCGGUCUACUCAUCGUCGCGAGGCCAACAUCGUCUGGGCCCGCUGGAUAAGACCUAAGGAAUGUAGCUUCCCUCGGGAAGUGUUAUAGCCUGUGGUGAUGCAGCGCGGCUCGGGCGAGGUCCGCGCUUCGGCAAGGAUGUUGGCGUAAUGGUUGUCAGCGGCCCGUCUUGAAACACGGACCAAGGAGUCUAACAUCUAUGCGAGUGUUCGGGUGUUAAACCCCUACGCGUAAUGAAAGUGAACGGAGGUGGGAAGCGCAAGCUGCACCAUCGACCGAUCCUGAUGUCCUCGGAUGGAUUUGAGUAAGAGCAUAGCUGUUGGGACCCGAAAGAUGGUGA
rnacentral:rRNA from 1 species